AUGUCGCAAGGCAAGGUAACGAGGAAUCCUAGUGCCCCCCGUCCCCCGUGCCGCUCCCGCGAGCGGCCCGGGCGGAACCCUAGAUCGCCGCCGCCGCUCCCCUUCCUCGCCUUCCUUCUCCCUCGCCGCCGCCAGGGGCCGUCGCCGGGCAAAGCCCGCGCGUGCGUCGGCGGCGGCGGGGCUCCCUCCCCCCUUGCGAGGCUCCUGGGCGGCGGCGAGCGCGCGGGCUCCUCCUCAUCCCGAUCUGAUGGCGCCACGGUGGCUCCGAUGCUCGGGCGUGCGGCGGGGUACGCGAGGGUGGUCGGCGUGUGUCUUCCUCCCCGAUCUGAUGGCUUCACGGUGGAGCCAGUGCUCAGGCAGUUGGCUUCGGCAAGCGGUGCCGGGCGCCGGGAUCUCGGCGGCGCUCCGGCGUGUGCAGGCGGCGGCGGUCCCUGUGCGCGGUCGGCGGCUCCAUCUCUGACCCGGACGGCACGGGGGAUGGCGGCGGCCCGGCGUGGCCGGCGAUCUGGAUGCGGUGGUGCCGGCGACUCGCUGAUAUGCCGGUACUCCAGGGUCUGCCUCGUGGUGCUGGUGGUGACGGUGGCCCGGGCACGAGAGUUGGAUCCCUUCGAACUGAUCUGGGUUUCUUGUUCUUUCAGCUGUGCUUGGUCGUCGUCCGAGAAGUACUCGUCGGUACGAACUGGGCCCAAAAUUUUAUACCUAGGGUCCUUUUGGGCUAGGGAGGCGGCAGCUGCUUUAUUCCCGAUCCCGAUCGCCAUGCUGCCCAUGGAAGCCGGGCCAAGCUCCGAUGAGGAGGAGACGGUCGUCCUCUCCGAUUGGGAGAUGGCGGAGGAGGAAGAGGAGGAGGAGACCGACGUCUUCACCGAUUGGGCGAUGGAGGAGGCCGCCGUCUUCCCCGACUGGGCGAUGCUGGAUCGCAUGGGCCGCACCCGCUGCCACAAGGACCUAGACGCCGCUCGUCUGAUCGUCAGCAAGAACAAGACCGCCGCUCGACUCCGCAUUGACCGCGGCUGCUCCUGCUACGUGUCCUUCACCCUCGCGGCUCCACAAGGGGUCUCCUACCUCAACCUCCACUGGCCGGUGGGAGAAGGCUCCGACGCCGUCUAUGCCCUGCUCCGGGCAACCGACAAGGACCUCGUCCUCUUCGACAUCUACGACCCGAGCCGGCUUCCCUACUUGCGCGCGCCGGCAGCUCUGUUCGUCUACACGGCCGCCGGCCCUUCCCCAUCGGUGCAGCGGCUCCCUAUGUACGCCAAGGAUAGGAAAUGGCGGCAUUUCCUGAAGGGUAAAUUCACCACGGGCAUCCUGCGGCUCCCGGAGAAGCGCUUCAUCGUCGCCGACCUCUGUGUCCUGGAUGGCGCACUCUGCGUCUUCAACUCCUCCUCCGAGGCCAAAGACUGGAAGGUCAUCUCCAUUACGCCUGGCCUGAUACGUUGGCACACGCCGGAGCAGAACAAGAGCAGCAGUGGUCAGCUCCCCAACCAAUGGUCAACUGACGAUGCGCUCGCUUUCGACGGCCGUUUCCUCUGCUGGGUUGACUACUUCAGCGGUGUCCUGCUAUCUGACUUCUCUUCCACUAUCGGUUCUCCGACGCUCCACUUCGUACCUUUCCCUGGAGAGAAGGAAUACCCUGCAGAGGUACGGGUCCCAAGGGAGUUCCCGGGGAGGUUCCGGAACGUGUCCAUCAGCCAAGGCAAGAUGCGCUUUGUCCACAUUGACAAUGACUUCCAUGAGACAAUCGAGGAUGACUGGACAUGGCGUCAGCUUCCCGAGAGAAGAAGCCAAGGGCAGCAGCAUCAGGGUUCCCAAAAAAUCACCAUAUGGACUUUGAACUCCGACAAGUUCAAGUGGGAGCAACAUGGCGUGAUCAACCUGGAUUGUCUAUGGGCGCAACGUGGUUACGAAGCUCUGGGCAUACGGCAGCGUCUUCCCGAGUUCCCAAUCGUCAGCGUCGAGGACCCAGAUGUUCUUUGCUGCUUGUUAAGGGAGGAGGAAUUUAAUGUCAAGGGGUGGAUGAUCAUGGUUGACAUGAAGCAUGCCUAUAUGCGGUCAUGUACUCCAUAUAUCAAUCGACAUUCCUACUGUGCUAAGUGUGCGGAUGUGGGUUGUGCUGAGUGUGUGGAUGCCAGAAACGAUUUUCCUAAUACGCUCCUACUUCCAACUGUCUUCUCCAAACACCUUGAAAGGCCAACAGGUAGCUAG
rnacentral:rRNA from 1 species